GUCGGACUUUGAAUAUUGAAUUGAUUUAAAAAUCAGGUUUGUCAGAACCUGAAAAUAUUUCCCCGGCUUUUAAACUUGCAAGUUGUAAGUGUAGAAAAUUUUCGGUUACACAGGAACUCAACCCUUGUUGACCAUUAUUUUGGCUAUAGAUAGGUGAGAAAGAACAUAUGAAGAGAACUUGAUGUAACUAAUUAUUAAGUCUUAUUUGUUAAUUUAUGUAUACACAUAAGUAGUAAUACACAUUAAGCGAUAAUUUAUGUGUUAAUGAAUUGUUUGAAAAUAAUUUAUCCGAAUUUGAUUAAUUUCAGCACUCUCAACUGAAUUUUCGCACAUGUGUUUGACUUACUUCGGUACAGUUAAAAAAUGUCAAAUUCCAUCCCUGUCAUACAUGCCACAAUGUUACACAUAUUCAAGCAGAUUCAGCUGCUCUCGGAGGAAUCGCGCCUGUGUAGGGCACCGUCCCUUUAGCGGCAUAAUGUUAUUUCAUCGCUGUCUCAACAAAGACUAAACGAUAGAGCGUAAGCGCACGUGUGAAGUUAGCAAUUGUGUUAUGAAAUGCCGACAACUAAUUAAAAUAUUUUUAAGUCAUUGAAUAUAUAUAUCGGUGACUCCUAUGAAACUGGAGGAAAAUGACUAUCACGUUAAUGGAUUCCAUCAUGCAGUUCCAGUCUCAGAACAUACUUAUACGCCCAAAUUCGCAUCAUGAUCUGAGGAUAAAUUACAGGGAAAGCUACCCAAAUCUUAAUCAACAGCAACACUAAGCAAAACUUCGAUGCUGAUUGACAGAUUUUACGAUUCAUACGCUUACCAGCGACCACAAUACGUUCUAGAAUACGUUCGUCUGAAUAGUAAUGCAUGUCUACUAUGAUUAAGCUUUAAAUGUUGUCCUCUGAAAAGUAGAAAUGACGCAACAGAAGUAUAGUCAAUAGCGGUCAGAAUCUUAAUAUCUGGAGAACGCCGCAUUCCAACAAAAGAUGAUCCUUAUUCACGAGCAUGUGCUACUCAUUUCGAAGCAAAUGGGAUCGCGGGAACCAUGCAACAUGACUUAUACUAUCAAUAAUUAGAGUAUGUACCAAGAAUGUACUUUAGUAGAACUUUAUACAAAGUUUCCAUGUAUUUGGGUUGAAAAUGACAUUACAUAUGAUAACUUUAAUAAUCGACGCCGUGAUAUUUAGAUUGCACACAUGCAUACAGUGAUUAUAAUUUUGAAAAUAGUUUAUGUAUGACAAAAAAAUAUUUGGAUAGUGAAAUUGCGAAAAAUAUGUUCCGAUGAAAACUACGUUGUAAAUGAAAAAAAAAUUGCUUUUGAAUCACCAUACUUCUACUAGGAACACAUUGCCUUUCUUCAAGUGGGUCGCCACAUGAAUGUUCAAUAUGUGAAGAAGUACUUUCUAGUUUUAGUAUGCAUCUAAUUCGUUCUAGACCAUCACCAACAAAA